CACCUGCAAAGCUCGGCGAGC
rnacentral:misc_RNA from 1 species